rnacentral:lncRNA from 1 species
AUUAAUCAUAAGCAAUUAACUAAGUUGUCCGACAUGUCAUUGGUCCCUCGACGCUUCGUCCGAUUCUUCGGCGCAUCGUCCUUUCCUGCGGCCUAUUGCCCAAUCGGCCAGUUGGCUCCGCAACUCCGAUAUCCUUGGCACAAUACCCGCUCUUCUUGGCCCGAUGCCCGAGUCCACGGCCCGAAGCCUUCUGUCGAUACGUCGACCGAUCCACCGGCCCGACGUCCAAUCUUCUGACAUGUUCCUCCGGCACAACAUGAUUUUCC